rnacentral:rRNA from 1 species
CGAUAAUCUGUCCUUAAGUCUAGGAUAACCUUGGGAAACUGAGGCUAACACUGGAUAGGAAAUUAUAUCUGGAAGGAUUUAUUUCUUAAAGGCAACGCUUAAGGAUGAGUCGGCGGCGGAUUAGGCUGUUGGCGAGGUAAUGGCUCACCAAACCGAAGAUCUGUAGGGGCUCUGAGAGGAGUAGCCCCGAGAAGGGCACUGAGAUACUGGCCCUAGCCCUACGGGGUGCAGCAGCCGCGAAACCUUUACAAUGCACGCAAGUGUGAUAAGGGAACCCAAAGUGCUUAGCUUUGCUAGGCUUUUGCCAAGUGUAAAUAGCUUGGAGAAUAAGUGGUGGGAAAGACUGGUGCCAGCCGCCGCGGUAACACCAGCGCCACGAGUGGGGAUCCUGUUUAUUUGGCCUAAAGCGUCCGUAGCUGGUUUGGUAAAUCUCUUGUGAAAUUGUUUCGCUUAACGGAACAGCGUGCAGGAGAGACUGCCUAACUAGGGACCGGGAGGAGUCAGAGGUAUGCUAGGGGGAGCGGUAAAAUGCUAUAAUCCUUGGUAGACCACCUGUGGCGAAGGCGUCUGACUAGAACGGGUCCGACAGUGAGGGACGAAAGCCAGGGGAGCAAACCGGAUUAGAUACCCGAGUAGUCCUGGCUGUAAACGCUGCGAGCUAGGUGUUGCAUAAUCUUCGUGAUUAUGCAGUGUCGAAGCGAAGGUGCUAAGCUCGCCGCCUGGGAAGUAUGGUCGCAAGACUGAAACUUAA